AACACCAAAAAUAAGUAAAAAAAAUCUAAAUGAAACUGUCUUGCAAUGAAUUAUCACAUCAAAACUGUACUCGAGCACUCGAGGUGGAAGGAAAGUUCCUAACCAAAUAAACUAGGUUAGGUUAACAUAACCUGACAUAAUAAAUUAGGCAAUUCAAACCACGUGACCUCUGGUUGGCCCACAAACUAACAAAGAGGUUAUGUUUGUAUCUAUUUUUCAAUGAUUUUUCAUUGUUUAUCGUCGUAUUUUGUCUAUUUUGGAUUCAUUUGGAUUUCGUUUCCUGUUUUUGUGAACUUUAUAAACUUUACCACAAUGCAAACUGAUUAUUUAAAGAAAUUAUUAUUGGAAACUCCAGAUGUUGCGAGAAAGGUAGGCAAAACAAUUUUUAUUUACUGUUCAUUUUGCCCCGAUAUUUUUCAAUAAUGAUGAAUUUUGCAAGCAAUAACAUUAUUUAUUUUAUUGUUUUAGAUAUUUAUUGAAGCUGAAAAUAAUUGGGGAUUUAGAUCCAUACGCAAUUCAGUCAGAAUUGGAUUUUACAGUAAAGUGCAGUUCAUCAAGUUACUAUUAUAGAUGUUUAUACAUAUCUGGUGGAGUCUCACAGUUGCUACCCUAAGCAGCAGAUGAAAGUUUACAAAAGCCUUCAGGCACAUAAAUAUUUUACAGCUGGAUUUGUUUUGAAUGGAGUAAAAAUUGUUAAUGAUUUCCUGAUUUCCAUAUUAUUGUUGGAAAGGUGAAGCAUUUCCAAAAAUCUAAUGCCAAACGACUAAAUGCUUGGGUGGGGUGAUAGCCAGCUCUGAUGACAUAGCAAAUGCACAUUGUAUGCGUAUGGCCGGUAAUAGUGAAGUCUGCAGCCAUAUUGCAGCAAUCCUAUUUUUAGCUGAGUAUGCCCAGGGCAAGACAGACGAAGAAGAACCCAA